UGAUUUCUCGAGAUUUCCAAUCACUCACGCUCCGCCAAGCUAGGGUCGACACAGGCGCCUUUGGUCAUCACCCACGGCUACCACCGGGUCUGCAACUGGAAACCAAAAUUCAGAACCACAAUUGACAAAGCCGCCGAUUUCAUUGCUUUACUUCUCUUUCAAUUUUGGUUUUCUGAUUGGGAAAAUGGUUUUCUCAUGUGCUUGAUUUGUGCCUCUUUCCUGUUUUGUUUUUGGUUCCCUAUUUCUGUUUCUGUGUUCUGAAUAUUGGUUUUGGUAGUGUUGAUGAAGAUAGUGGAAUGGUGAUCAAGGUUUCCGAGAGCGUGGGCAGUAGUUAGGAUGGGGUCCUGGUUGGGAGAAUGAGGUGCAGUGUGUGACAGAGCCGGAGUGAUAGGUGUGUGAUCAUGGACUGGAGCAUGAGGCGUGGUGUGUAUGAAGUUUGGUGGUGAAGAAAAAAAUGUGUGUCUGCCUCUAUGGGUUAUCGGGUGCAAUGUGUGUUGUAUGUGAUGAUAUUCGAUGGGAAUGAAAGUGUUGGAAGGGUCGAGAAAGAUUGGGCAGCGGUGAGUGAUAGAUGAUCAUCGUUAACAGAGAAAGGAAGGACCUGAAGAGAUGAAACUUAUCUCCUUCUGCUUGUUAGAAUCAUGAUGGAUAAUAGAGAUUUUUGGAGAAGAAUUCGUGUCUUUUUGCUUUUCCGGUGAGUGAUCGUUAUGGGUGAGGGAUUGACCACAAAAAGGGAAAUGUGAUUCAGUGACGAAGGAGGUAGUGAAUCGAAAAAAAAAUGUGAGCGAUGAAUUGGGAAUCUCCUGUAAGGGAAUCUGUUGGGGUGGUUAUGUGUUGGGCAGAGGAGAGGAAUUCGGAAUCAAGUUUCUGUAAAAAUGGAAGAGGUAGUGAGUGAGUGUGUGGGUAAUUGUUGGUAGUUGUCCUGAAUGAUGGCGUAAUUGACAUUGAAAAGGAAAUGCAGUUGGAGAGAGUAGUGAUCAACGGUGUGUGUGCGCUGUGUCUGAUUAUGGGUGAUGAGGUGUGGGUGCGUGUUGAGUGAUGGAGAGAAAAGGAGCGUGUGAGGUGAAUCUGUUGAGUGAACGUUUGUGAUGGUGAGGGCAUUGAGGUAGUUGCCAGUGAGAGGAGCAGAGAGGUGGAGAGCCAAGGGGAGUGUCGUGUGUGUGAUUAAUGAUGAGGCCUAGAGUGCGUUUCCUUGCCUCCCUGCCAAAACCGUUUUCUGCCAAAACCAAAUCAGCCUCUACCACUCCUUUUCUCCAACACGCAUUCACUUUUCUCUUUUCCCCCAAACAAAAUUCUUUUUUUUUCCUUUUUUUACUAUAGACAAAACCUUUUCUUUUUUCUAUUUUUAUUAUUAUUUUUUUUG
rnacentral:lncRNA from 1 species